rnacentral:rRNA from 1 species
CACUCCUGCGGGAGGCAGCAGUGGGGAAUAUUGCACAAUGGGCGCAAGCCUGAUGCAGCCAUGCCGCGUGUAUGAAGAAGGCCUUCGGGUUGUAAAGUACUUUCAGCGGGGAGGAAGGCGAUAAGGUUAAUAACCUUGUUGAUUGACGUUACCCGCAGAAGAAGCACCGGCUAACUCCGUGCCAGCAGCCGCGGUAAUACGGAGGGUGCAAGCGUUAAUCGGAAUUACUGGGCGUAAAGCGCACGCAGGCGGUCUGUCAAGUCGGAUGUGAAAUCCCCGGGCUCAACCUGGGAACUGCAUUCGAAACUGGCAGGCUAGAGUCUUGUAGAGGGGGGUAGAAUUCCAGGUGUAGCGGUGAAAUGCGUAGAGAUCUGGAGGAAUACCGGUGGCGAAGGCGGCCCCCUGGACAAAGACUGACGCUCAGGUGCGAAAGCGUGGGGAGCAAACAGGAUUAGAAACCCCGGUAGUCCCAUG